rnacentral:rRNA from 1 species
AGAGUUUGAUCAUGAAUCAGGACGAACGCUGGCGGCGAUCCUAACACAUGCAAGUCGAACGGUGAACGGGGCUUCGGCUCCGGGAUCAGUGGCGAACGGGUGCGUAACACGUGGGCAACUUGCCCCUCACUUUGGGAUAACCCCGGGAAACGGGAGCUAAUACCGGAUACUCCGCUCCCACCGCAUGGCGGGAGCGGGAAAGGUCCGCCGGUGAGGUAUGGGCUCGCGGCCUAUCAGUUUGUUGGUGGGGUAACGGCCUACCAAGGCGACGACGGGUAGCUGGUCUGAGAGGACGACCAGCCACACUGGGACUGAGAUACGGCCCAGACUCCUACGGGAGGCAGCAGUGGGGAAUCUUGCACAAUGGGAGAAAGCCUGAUGCAGCGACGCCGCGUGAGGGAUGAAGGCCCUCCGGUUGUAAACCUCUUUCGGCAGGGACGAAGCGAUCGUGACGUACCCUCAGAAGAAGCUUA